CGUAGGUGGCAAGCGUUAUCCGGAAUUAUUGGGCGUAAAAGCGCGCGUAGGCGGUUUUUUAAGUCUGAUGUGAAAGCCCACGGCUCAACCGUGGAGGGUCAUUGGAAAACUGGAAAAACUUGAGUGCAGAAGAGGAAAAGUGGAAUUCCAUGUGUAGCGGUGAAAAUGCGCAGAGAUAUGGAGGAACACCAGUGGCGAAAGGCGACUUUCUGGUCUGUAACUGACGCUGAUGUGCGAAAGCGUGGGGGAUCAAACAGGAUU
rnacentral:rRNA from 1 species